rnacentral:tRNA from 1 species
AGGGUAUAGCUCAGUCAGAGAGCAUGUGCUUAACAGGCAUGAGGCCCUGGGUUCAAUCCCCAGCCUA